UGGGGAUGACGUCAAAUCAUCAUGCCCCUUAUGUUCUGGGCUACACACGUGCUACAAUGGCCGGUACAGACGGACGCAAAGCCGCGAGGCGGAGCAAAUCCGAAAAAGCCGGUCUCAGUUCGGAUUGCAGGCUGCAAUUCGCCUGCAUGAAGUCGGAAUCGCUAGUAAUCGCAGGUCAGCAUACUGCGGUGAAUACGUUCCCGGGCCUU
rnacentral:rRNA from 1 species